AACGAACGCUGGCGGCAUGCCUAACACAUGCAAGUCGAACGAGAUCUUCGGGUCUAGUGGCGCACGGGUGCGUAACGCGUGGGAAUCUGCCCUUUGGUUCGGAAUAACAGUUGGAAACGACUGCUAAUACCGGAUGAUGACGAAAGUCCAAAGAUUUAUCGCCAGAGGAUGAGCCCGCGUAGGAUUUGCUAGUUGGUGUGGUAAAGGCGCACCAAGGCGACGAUCCUUAGCUGGUCUGAGAGGAUGAUCAGCCACACUGGGACUGAGACACGGCCCAGACUCCUACGGGAGGCAGCAGUGGGGAAUAUUGGACAAUGGGCGAAAGCCUGAUCCAGCAAUGCCGCGUGAGUGAUGGAGGCCUUAGGGUUGUAAAGCUCUUUUACCCGGGAUGAUAAUGACAGUACCGGGAGAAUAAGCUCCGGCUAACUCCGUGCCAGCCGCCGCGGUAA
rnacentral:rRNA from 1 species